rnacentral:rRNA from 1 species
AUACGUAGGGGGCAAGCGUUAUCCGGAUUUACUGGGUGUAAAGGGAGCGUAGACGGUUUGGCAAGUCUGAAGUGAAAGCUCGGGGCUCAACCCCGGAACUGCUUUGGAAACUGUCGAACUGGAGUGCAGGAGAGGUAAGCGGAAUUCCUAGUGUAGCGGUGAAAUGCGUAGAGAUCGGGAGGAACACCAGUGGCGAAGGCGGGUAACUGGACUGCAACUGACGCUGAGGCGCGAAAGUGUGGGGAGCGAACAGGAUUAGAUACCCUGGUAGUCCACACUGUAAACGAUGAAUACUAGGUGUAGGGGGUAUCGACUCCCUCUGUGCCGCAGUUAACACAAUAAGUAUUCCGCCUGGGGAGUACGGCCGCAAGGUUGAAACUCAAAGGAAUUGACGGGG